AUUGAACGCUGGCGGCAGGCCUAACACAUGCAAGUCGAGCGAGCGGCGGACGGGUGAGUAAUGUCUGGGAAUCUGCCCGAUGGAGGGGGAUAACUACUGGAAACGGUAGCUAAUACCGCAUACCAUCAGAUGUACCCAGAUGGGAUUAGCUAGUAGGUGGGGGAAUGGCUCACCUAGGCGACGAUCCCUAGCUGGUCUGAGAGGAUGACCAGCCACACUGGAACUGAGACACGGUCCAGACUCCUACGGGAGGCAGCAGUGGGGAAUAUUGCACAAUGGGCGCAAGCCUGAUGCAGCCAUGCCGCGUGUAUGAAGAAGGCCUUCGGGUUGUAAAGUACUUUCAGCCGGGAGGCGUUACCGACAGAAGAAGCACCGGCUAACUCCGUGCCAGCCGCCGCGGUAAUUC
rnacentral:rRNA from 1 species